rnacentral:tmRNA from 1 species
CUUUGAAAGAAUAUUGUGGUCGCAGGUAUUUUUUCGAGAAUUAGGGACUAGUGAUAAUUAAUUUUGUUUAUUUAUUUAAUUAUUAUGAAACAAAUAAAUAAACUAAACAUGUAGAAAACAGAAUGGAUGAUAAUUCGGACCCGAGUUCGAGUCUCGGCUAGUCCACCA